GUUUCUUUCAGGUCUUUAUUGCAGGACUGCCAACAUAAGAACUGUAUACAACACAACACAAUAAGUACUUUUACUGUCCAAACAGACACAAACCACACCCAUCCUGCUGAGUGUGAGCAUGGUCCUAUGGCUACACAGCUGAAUCCUAUUCCAAGGAACUUCAAAAGGCAAUCGACGAGUCCUACGCUGUUUUGGUGAGGAAAUUGUGGUAGAAAGUCGCUUCUUACCGGAGAUCUGUGGAGCUUGCGCCGUCCAUGCAGCUGACGUCGACUUCCCUCAGAGACUGGCCUCAAGACACCCGUGGACACACCCCACCGACUAUCAGGUGCAUGUCUUUGGUGUUGGAAGGAAGCUGGAGUACCCGGAGGGAACCCACGCAGUCAUGGGGAGAACAUGCAGACUCCACACAGAAAGAACCCGAGCCCGGCAUUGAACCCAGGACUGCUCAGGACCUUCGUAUUGUGAGGCGGAUGCAGUAAUCCCUCUAUCACCGUGCUGCCCCAACAAACAAAGGAAAAUAUAAA